GUUAUUUCACCUGCUUGUUGUUUCCCACUACCCCCCUCACCCUUUUUCAGUCGAUUUAGAAGGCGUUUCCGGUUGUUUUCAGGGAGUUCUCCGAUCGCCCUAUCGCCCUCCAGGCAGAACCACGACCCUCCUCUUCUGCAACGACGGAGGAGAAUGUUGCUGUAGGAGACGCUUACCUUCUUGUCACAAUCAUAGAAUGAAGGAUAAGAAUUGUGGAUUGGAGCCAAAUAAAGUUCUGUCUUCACUGACUGAUUGAGUUUGGCACCACGCAUAACUAUUAAUAUGUUACGUCGCCAAGGCUACUAUAACCUCGUCGCUGUGAAGUAUCCGGCCACAUUCAAGUUGCCAAACUCGAAGCCACCUGAAUUCCUGCUUCUGUGGAUUUCUCUUGUCAGCCUCAACACGCAAGCCGAGAGCAGCCUCAUUAAACUAAUUACAGUGCACUUAUUUUAUUUCAACUCGGAUUCAAGGAGACGAUACACUCAAAUUUUGUCUUGUUAGACUUGCAAGAUUGUGAAAAUAUGACCAUGAAUAUGUUCAGACAGGAACCAUGAAUGCAAGUGUUGGUAAAGAUGGUUGCAAAUGAGGUAAGGUGUUCAAGUGUAAUAUGGCAGCGGAAGAUUAUUCAACCUGCAUCAUUAAGUGCAGUAAAAUUCAUCACCAGGAAAUGUUCUGUACUUUGUAAAUACAUUACAAUAAAUAAUAAUAUUAAUAAUAUUCCAUAUAUCUCGACUUCUGCAUCAAGGCAUAUGGGAAUGGCAUCACGUUCAAGUGCAGCUGUGAAGAAUGUGAUUUUGGCUUCAAAAUUCUCUUUUACUUGGUGUGAAAGCAGUAUCUCCAACUCUACAUUUUUAUUGGUGUAAACUUCAAGAAAUAUCAAAGAUGAGUAUUAUCAGUAUGCAGGGAAGGUAUUGUGAACAGAACAGUUUUGAUAAUUGUGAAUGCAAAGGUUGUUAGCUGAUCAUGUCUGUACCACUGUAGUGUGUUCUAUAAGAUAGUGUUUCAAUCUUCUUUUCUGCUAUGUGUUCUGAUGUUGAUUGUUGUAAUGGUUUUGAGGGCAUUAAUUUGCCAUCGACUGGGAAUGCACACUUGACAUGGAGCGCACACUGUCUCUCACUGAGAGCGAGACUGGAGUCUUCCGCAUGCCUUUGGCUGUGGUACUCUGAAAAUCCUCUCGCUGCCUAUGCUCCAAUGAUUAUUGCAAUGGUUUGGACAGCAUUCAGUUGCUAUCGACUGGCAAUGCAUAAUCAAAGAGUGUAUGGUUAGUGAGCUAGCUUUGCUGGUCUUUGCUUUCCUAUGAUUGGUGUACUGGUUUAGAAGGCAUUUAAUUGCUAUCGACUGGAAAUGCACAAUCAAGUAUGGUAUAAGCUAAUCAGUUUUCGGUCUUUUUUGUGUCUUGAUUGGCUUCUCAAAUCUAGAAAUUGUACAAGCACUUUCUUAUCUUCAACUUCAAUUUUGUUUUUCAGACAUGCAGUUUCUUCUAAGCGAUGAGUCAAGAACAAGAAAAACAAAAAAAUUCUAAGGAGCGUAGAUGAGUCCCAAUCAGGAUUAACAUAUUUAUUUAUUUAUGUGGUGAGGAUCUUUGAUUAUGUAUAUGUGUACCUGAAAGGAGAAAGGAUCAGCUUCAAAGGAGCGCGUACAAGGCGAGA